rnacentral:rRNA from 1 species
UACAGAGGGUGCGAGCGUUAAUCGGAAUUACUGGGCGUAAAGCGCACGUAGGUGGCUUUGCAAGUCGAUUGUGAAAACCCCGGGCUUAACCUGGGAACUGCAGUCGAGACUGCUUUGCUUGAGUAUGGGAGAGGGAGGUGGAAUUUCCGGUGUAGCGGUGAAAUGCGUAGAUAUCGGAAGGAACAUCAGUGGCGAAGGCGACCUCCUGGACCAAUACUGACACUCAAGUGCGAAAGCGUGGGGAGCAAACAGG